rnacentral:lncRNA from 1 species
UGAGAGGGGUUUGGGAGAGAUUCUUUGAUUGGCUUGGGAAGAAGAAGGUAGAUGGAAUUAUUUUUGGUCUGGCUAGACCUAGUUCACGGUGAAUCGCAUUAAUUUUUACAUGGUUUAUUUUACGUUUGGGUUUCAAUAUAUCGUAGUGAUAUUAGACGUAAUUAAGUUGUUAAUUAGAGUGUUUUGCCUCUGUCGAAUGAACUAUAGUUAACUGAAAAAAACUUCUGGUGCACGCUGCUCGUGUUGGAUUGGGUGCAGCAAAAUUUGGAUGCUUAUAGUGGCUUAAAAGAUCAGCCAGGAACCAAUCUAUAAAUAGCAGUUUUGGUUGUUAGGACUAAUUCGUAAAAGAUGAGAAUUUUGUGAUUCAAGUGCCGUUGGACUUGUCUUGGAAAUACAGAUGAGAUCAUUUGGUCUAAUUAUCUAGAUUUACUGUAUAAUGUUUGUAAAAUUUUUAAUAGUUAAAGGGUUUGGUUAAAAAUAUAUUUUAUUUAGGUCUUUUCGUCGUUCUAGGUGCUGGGACUACCGUAAAACCUCAAUCUUAGAUUGUAACGAAUUUGUGAGCACUAAUAGAGGCAAGUAAAUAGCUACUUUUCUGCAAAUAGUAGAAAAUAUGCAGAUCCGAGUGGAUCCCAGGCACGAUUAUUAUCUAUUUUGGGCGUGUUUGGUUUGAAGUCGGAGUCGGAAUCGGAAUCGGAAUCAAGAUAAGCUGGAAUCGAAAUCGGAAUGACUCAUUACCUAAUUCUGUUUGGUUCAUCACCUGAAUCGGAAUCGGAAUAAAUCAUUCCCAUUGUCGGUGUUUGGUUCAGGUGGAUAUAAAAAACGUAAUCAAAUUAAUAUACUAACAUUAUCUUUAUAAUAUAUUAAUUUAAAUUCAAAUUAAAUAUUAAAA